ensembl:lncRNA
GAUGGGCUCCCUGCUGCUCCAUCUGCCGUCUACAUCUCCGGAGGGUGUCUCCAGUUUUCCCCAAUCACCAACUAACACGCAAGGGGAGGCCGGGCUGGUGUGGAAUGAAGAUUUAUGAAAAGCACAACCAAGGAAGGGUUAAAGGCAACCUGUGAUAUGACCUGUCUGCGGAACGCUUAGCCCCUCCAACAAGGCCCUGCAAGUUCCAGAAGCAAAGGCCAGGUCUCCCUGUCUCUCUGCCUCGCUCCCACCCUCUGGACCACAUUUUCUUCGCUCUGAAGACAGAGGUGCCUGAGGCUGUCAAACCUCCUCCCACCGCACCCCGCCCCCAGCAUGUUAGCAAAUCUCUGGAUAAGGAUAGAGAAGCCAGGCUUCACGCGCCUUUCCUUCUGCCCCUGUGAACCUCCCAACAAAAGUAAAAUUAAAUAAAAUGAAAAGUUCUGUGCAAUUGAGAUUGUAGAAACUGACAGCUACAAACCUGGCACACAUGGGAAUAACAGGAGAGAGCACGGGACCUGCAGAUGUCAAAAGACGUUAUUCUGAACGCAAGUGCUCCUGCCGGGAGGGAAGCUGCCCUGCGGCUUCUCUCAAUGCCUUUAACCCUAAAAACACCGUGGCAAUGCUGAGACAGAUCUGGGUACGCUGGCAGGGGUACAUCCACCUUCUCAGCUCUGACACCCCCAGCAAGGUUUGAAAGCUCAGAAAGUUCCAAGAAAGCCCCUCUCCUGCCUGACCUGCUGGUACUGAGGCGGAAGCAUGGAGGAAGAAGAGAGGCUGGAAGGCAGCAGCAACGUAAAUCCAGCCCUGGGCCACAGCCCUGAAGUAAAGCCCUGACUUUCAGGAGGCUGGGACUCGCUCAGCUUCUGUUAAGCUGAAACAUGCCUGGUGCUACAGCUUAUGGGCGCUGGCUAAUCGCACCUUCUGAUUCACACCAUUAUUAAACCGACAGCUUGGGCAACAAGGAGAAUCACCCAGGGCCCAGCGCUCCAGGCCAAAACUGAGCAGAGUGCAAACUCAGGGCACGCAGAUGUUUGGUAAAUGAGUGGUGUGACUGCCCGGCCUGCUUUCUGCCCCAGACCAUGCGACUUGUCCCUCCAGAGAAGAGGAAAGUCUUAGGGAGAGGAGCCUGGCUCCCUCUGGACCACAUUUGCCUGUCUAGGGAGUCGCCGCUUCCCACAGCUGUCACACCCUGUUUUAAGACACCAGAACUAACCCACUGGGCCGCUGACAUCCCUUGCCAGCCUGGGGCCCGCGUGCAGGUUGGAGCACGCAGCUGACAUCACGCCUCAGUCUGGGUUAGCUGUCCCAGGAGCCCGAAUCCCGUCGCUCCUGCACAUGACCCCAGUUGCAACAGUGGGUUAAAGUUCAGAAGCAGGCUGCUGAAAACAUCCACGGUGAUAAGCUGCACCUUUCGCGGCAGAUAACCCCAGCAGGAGAGAAAACAGGUUACAGGACCUCUGAGCUGUCCCUUCCAGCAGCCUCGCUAAUAAAGACCUCUGACCAGUCUUUCUGCUGCUGAUCCCCAUUUACAGUAGAUUAAUGGAAAUUUAAUAUUUUUUCCAAAAUAAGCAACGAGCCUAGUGCUUUAUUUUUCAGCACCCAGCUUAUGUUUUAUUUAUUUUUUAAAUUCAACUUAUUUAAAUUAAAACCAAAAAAACUGGCUCACCUAUUUCUUAUUUUGAGUAAAAUAAACACAUCAGUCUUCUAAGGGAUGUUUUCAGAGGUGAGGCUGAGGAGCUUCUUCUCCUUUCCAGCUGCUCAUGGAAUCAGGGUUUGCGAUCAGCAAGCAAACCCAAGCAAUGCUGAUGCCGUGAGUCAGCCCUGAGCCCCAGGGGCUGGCUGAAGGAUCCAGGUGCGGGGCUGUUUUGAGGGGAAGUGAACUUUGUCCUCUAAUCAAAAUGUUCAACUGGACUCAGAAUCUUCAACUUGGGAUCUCAUAGCUCUGAGAGAAGGAAUCAUUACCAGGUUUAAUUGGUUUAGAAUAAGAGGGGAAAGGAUACAAAAGGCAGCCGCAGCCUUAAGGAGCUUACAGUGCAGUUGGGAAGCCCAGAGCAAAACACAGAGAAGUUAACAGAAAUACAGAGUGGUUGGACCCAAAGCAUCUCCAGCAUGGGGCCUUUGGCCGUGUCUGGAGGUGUGUGUUGUUGGUAGAACCUGGAGAGAGCAGGGCUGCUAUCACUGUCACCUAGUGGGUAGAUGCCAAGCAUCUGCUCUACAUCCUAACAAUGCAAGGCUGGCCCCCCGCAGCAAAGAGGGGCUGAUCCCAAAUGUCAAAGUUCCAAGAAGGAGAAACCUCCGUCUAGAUUCAUCUCAAGCUUCGCUCACCCUGCUCCCCAAAAGCUCUCCUUCUCUCCAUGAAAGAGAGAGGAGCAGCCUCUUCACGUCAGGUCCAGACCUCUCCCGUAGCAAUCAGCACAUUGCAUGUGACUGUCUACUUCCCAGUCUCUUCCCCAGGAUUCACAUAAUCUCUUAUUUACACUACCAUUAGUGGCAUUUAACAUAUAAAGACCACAAUGUGCCCAGUAUCACAGAGAACAUAAAUUUUAGACACAGAUUGUUUUUCGCUUCAGCUUACACAAUAAAAUUGGCUGGCAAGCCAGUACAUCAAGGUCAAAAAAGUUUUUCAAAUACCAGCAAUUGCUCUUAACCAAUCAAAAAAAUAGAUUGUCUUUCAGUACGUGUGCUGCCUUGUGAAAAGAGAGGGAUUAGAGGAAGGAUCUUCAGUCAAAGAACAAAUUCUUGGAGAGACUGUAAAAAAGAAGGAGCCCUCAGAAACCCAAGAGUUAUUACCCUCCUGCUUGGCCACAAAGCAGUAAUAACUUAGGUAUAAAAUACGUGGAAGGAAAAAAGGCAAAACUUUCCCCAAAAUAAAGCCUUCUCCACACAGCUAACUUACUCACCCAGAUUCCAGAACGUUAAGGGAAGUCAGUCGGUAGGAAAUCAAAUGUGUGAAAAAAUGAGGAAAACAUAAAAAAAAUCUGCUUUGGCCCCAUGCAG